GACGAACGCUGGCGGCGUGCUUAACACAUGCAAGUCGAGCGGAAAGGCCCUGCUUUUGUGGGGUGCUCGAGUGGCGAACGGGUGAGUAACACGUGAGUAACCUGCCCUUGACUUUGGGAUAACUUCAGGAAACUGGGGCUAAUACCGGAUAGGAGCUCCUGCUGCAUGGUGGGGGUUGGAACGUUUCGGCGGUUGGGGAUGGACUCGCGGCUUAUCAGCUUGUUGGUGGGGUAGUGGCUUACCAAGGCUUUGACGGGUAGCCGGCCUGAGAGGGUGACCGGCCACAUUGGGACUGAGAUACGGCCCAGACUCCUACGGGAGGCAGCAGUGGGGAAUAUUGCACAAUGGGCGGAAGCCUGAUGCAGCAACGCCGCGUGCGGGAUGACGGCCUUCGGGUUGUAAACCGCUUUCGCCUGUGACGAAGCGGGAGUGACGGUAAUGGGUAAAGAAGCACCGGCUAACUACGUG
rnacentral:rRNA from 1 species